rnacentral:lncRNA from 1 species
ACUACCCAGGGGGCCGAGCGCUUGGCGAAUGUGCUCAUCGACAAGCUGGACACACUUCAGAAGUCGGUGACCGAGCUCGAUACGACACAUAGCAGGGCCACCUCGGCCAUUAUCCGACAGCUCGAGCACGUCACCAAUGCAGUCACACUACUUGCAGAGCGCAUGCCCCGGGGACCCGCAUCCUCCUCGAGGAAGCCUUAGAUCAUUUUGUGUUAUUUUGACAUGU